ACUGCGAUCAAAAGGUUCCGAGAGGAAACAGUACGUGACUGUAAUGACGAAGCCAAUUCGAAAGAUGAUAGCACAAUCAACAUUGCUGGGCAUCAUUGAAGUAUAUUUUUUGAUCCGCCUCAUCUUCUCAAAGGGUUAGCGUAGCGGCGCAAGUUUUUAGCGGCCAUGCUAAACUACACAGCUGCGCUUAAUAAGCUUCACACUGGUUCAGUCUCAAAUGACACCAUGGAAGCUACAGCUGAAAUUAUCGAAUUUUUCGACACCCUGUUCGACAGUGUCAACGGCUCCCCCUGGCGGCACCACAAAAGGGAAACUGAGAAAAGCAGUAAAACAAAACUCAGCACAUAAUCAUUUCUGGUUAGAAGCAAUUGAAAAAUUAAAUAAAUUGCAAUAUGAAGACACCAGUAGCAAAUUGGCUGUAAGGCAAAGAAAUCCUCGAUUGGUUCGAGUACCGUCUCUGGAAGGAUGGAUUGUAACAUUAUCAAGUUUCAGUAGGUAUAUUGUUUGACAAAUAUGGCGUGGAAUAUUAUUACCCUCGAAAUAUUAACCAAGACCCACUGGAAACCUUUUUUGUGAGGGCUCUCAAUUACAGAAA